GGGGCGUAGCCAAGUGGUAAGGCAACGGGUUUUGGUCCCGCUAUUCGGAGGUUCGAAUCCUUCCGUCCCAG
rnacentral:tRNA from 2 species